rnacentral:rRNA from 1 species
GACGAACCGUCCAAACGUUAUUCGGAAUCACUGGGCUUAAAGGGUGCGUAGGCGGCGCGGAAAGUUGGGUGUGAAAUCCCUCGGCUCAACCGAGGAACUGCGCCCAAAACUACCGUGCUCGAGGAAGAUAGAGGUGAGUGGAACUGCGAGUGUAGAGGUGAAAUUCGUAGAUAUUCGCAAGAACACCAGUGGCGAAGGCGGCUCACUGGCCCGAUACUGACGCUGAGGCACGAAGGCGUGGGGAGCAAACAGG